rnacentral:lncRNA from 7 species
AGGAAAUUGAUCUAUGAACUCGUAACGGAGAAAAACAAUGGCAGGGAAGGGAACUCACCGAGGAAGAGGUAGUUUCGCCUGAGACGCGGAGGGGUGGGCUACGGCGUGGAUGCAGGUGCACAGGUUGAUGGACGCGGUGUAGUGGCUUGGGCAUAGGGAUUAGUGGUUGCACGGUAGUGGUGGCCAUGGCCGCCGGCAUGUGGGGUAGACAAGGCGGAAUGGGGGUAGACGCCGAGGUUAUGGAGGCUCGGCCAAGGAGCCAUGUUGUUCGCCGAUUGCCAGAUGAACAACUGCAUGCACAUUUUGAGAAAACGUCCUAGACGCGCCAUCCACGCGCGGGCUCCAUGCACCUUGAUCGUGGGCGCUGACCAUGCAAAUGGUGUGCAGAUGAGAGAUUCACGG